rnacentral:rRNA from 1 species
GACGGAGGAUGCAAGCGUUAUCCGGAAUGAUUGGGCGUAAAGCGUCCGCAGGUGGCAGUUCAAGUCUGCUGUCAAAGACCGGGGCUUAACUUCGGAAAGGCAGUGGAAACUGAACAGCUAGAGUAUGGUAGGGGCAGAGGGAAUUCCUGGUGUAGCGGUGAAAUGCGUAGAGAUCAGGAAGAACAUCGGUGGCGAAGGCGGUCUGCUGGACCAUAACUGACACUGAGGGACGAAAGCGAGGGGAGCGAAUGGG